GCGGUAAUAGCUCAGUUGGUAGAGCAGACGCUUCCCAAGCCUCAGGUCGCGAGUUCGAGUCUCGUUUACCGCU
rnacentral:tRNA from 1 species